GAGCUCAUGCUACACAAUUAAAUAUAUUCCUUAAAUAUUGUGUGCCUGCAACUUUUGAUUUUGUAAAUGGGUUCCCACAGGACAAAAAUGAGUCUUAAACAUAAAAUUAAACCAUACGAAUGUUAGUUUUUUAGUUAAUUUCAGCUGGGUGGUAGUCUAUAGUCCCAGCUACUCAAGUGGCUGAGGCAGAAGGAUCGCUUGAGCCCAGGAGUUCAGGGCUGCAGUGAGCUGUGAUCACACCACUGCACUCCAGCCUGGGGGAAGAGCAAGACCCUACAAACAAAAAAGAGUUAAUUCCAUUAUAUUUAUUUUUACACACCCAGAGUUUGACUAAAAUAUACCAGACAAUCUCCUGUCCCCAAAUCCAUGUCCAAGCAAGGGGAGCCACGUUUUCUAAGCUCACGGUUUAAAGGUUAAAGGGACACACUGAGGAAAACUCAGGGAAAGAAGCUGAUUUGCAUGGACACUAGGCCUGUCGUUGAUUCCCUCAUUUCAAAAGUUGCAUGUGCCAUGGGAGGCGGAGUCUCUGAGGACAUCCUGGCUGUGCCUUGGCGGCUCUGGACUCCAGCUCUACGCAGAGCUCCUUAACACUGUACUGGAAGAAAUGGGAAAUCGCAUUGAGGACUUACAGAAGAAUGUCAAUGACUUAAUGGUGCAAGCUGGCAUUGAAAAUUCAAUUAAAGAACAAAUGCUGAAGACCUAACUGCAGCAUGUCUGUAUUUGGAGAUGGGGCCUCUACAGAAGUCAUUAAGGUUACAUGGGUCCUGAGGGUGGGGCCCUCAUCCAACAGGAUUCGUCUUUCUGAGAAGAGACGCCAGGGGCUCGCCUGCUCUCCCCCCGUGCCUGCACCAGAGAAGGAGGCCAUCGGCAAGCCAAGGAGAGCCCUCCCCAGAAAUCACACGGACCAGCACCUUGAUCUGGGACUUCCAGAAAACAGAACUGUGAAAAGACAAGUUUCUGUUGUUUAAACCACCCAAUCUGAAGUAUUUUGUUAUGGCAGUCCUGGGCAGACUAAUACAAUAUGCAACACAUUUACAAUAAAUAUACAAUAAACUU
rnacentral:sRNA from 1 species